GAAUCUUUCAAGAUUAUAAUAAAUUAAAUGUUGUUAUUCUAUAUUAAUGCAUAACUAUAUGAUACAGGUUUCUUAAAUAUCUAAAUAUCAAAUUAUCUACUUAACAUAGGCACCUCAGAAUAACAUGACAUUUUGUGAAAUUUAUAACAAGAACGACAUAGAUUAUUGGUUUUUUUUUCAAAGAUCUAUCCUUUGAAAAAAAAAGUGGAAGAAAUUGCGUAACAUGAAUAGAUGUGCCUCAAGGAAUUUGUUUCCGUCCAUAUCACCUACGUUGUGGUGAUGAUCUGGAAUACAAGUUUAUAAAACAAAAGAUUAACAAAGGAUCAUACUUCCAGCGGAAAGCUAUGACAAUGUGGCAGCUUUGGUUACCAUGUCGUCGAUUGAUUCCACAGCUUAUGUGAUGAUUAUUUGUCAAAAAAUACGAUGCUUAUUUUAUUGUGUUUCAACUCCGAGAUUUGUGCCAAAAAGCAACAGUUUCACAAUUGAUCGAUUGCAUAAAAGCAACAGUUUCACAAUUGAUCGAUUGCAUAAAAGCAACAGUUUCACAAUUGAUUGCAUAAAAGCAACAAUUUCAUAUUUGAUCUUAUGUUUGGAAUAAAAAAAAAAAGAUGUGGUAUGAUUGACAAUGAGACAACUCUCCACAAGAAUCUUCGUUAACAGAUUCAUACACUUUUGUGCAACAUGAUUAUGUGCCACUAGUGGAGCACGAACGGCUCAACUCUAGGAUCACUUCCUUUUACCCCUUAUUUUGGUGGGGUUCCAUAUCUAAAUCUUUGGUUAUGGUGUUGUAUAAUCUAGGAUUGAAGAGCCAGUACCUUUUUUAUGUAUAAAAAUAGUCAUAAGGUGUAACAACUUCAAUUAACAUAACAUAUAACUAUACUUUCUAAAACGUAAACAGUUUGAUAAACCAUUGAGAACAUUUACAUGACUGUCCCUUUGGUAUCUUUCGUCCCUCUUUUACAUCGGUAGGAGCCAAUGUCGAAAAAGCAAAGGAAGCAUUUGAC
rnacentral:lncRNA from 1 species